rnacentral:piRNA from 1 species
UUACUGUGUGACAAUAUUUAUGACCUGA